rnacentral:rRNA from 1 species
GCCGUAAACGAUGGAUACUGGCUGUUGGAGGUAUCGACCCCUUCAGUAGCGAAGCUAACGCGUUAAGUAUCCCGCCUGUGGAGUACGGUCGCAAGACUAAAACAUAAAGGAAUUGACGGGGACCCGCACAAGCGGUGGAUCGUGUUCUUUAAUUCGAUGAUAAACGAAGAACCUUACCAGGGCUUGACAUCCAGGGAAGGUCUGCGAAAGCGGACUGUGCCUUUUGGAACCCUGUGACAGGUGCUGCAUGGCCGUCGUCAGCUCGUGUCGUGAGAUGUUUGGUUAAGUCCAUCAACGAGCGCAACCCUUGCAACUAGUUGGAUUUUUCUAGUUGGACUGCCCCGGUAACGGGGAGGAAGGAGGGGAUGAUGUCAGGUCAGUAUUGCCCUUACGUCCUGGGCUAGAAACACGAUACAAUGGCUAGUACAAUGCGCAGCGAAGCCGCGAGGUGGAGCAAAUCGCAUCAAAGCUAGUCCCAGUUCGGAUUGGAGGCUGAAACUCGCCUCCAUGAAGUCGGAAUCGCUAGUAAUCGCAGAUCAGCAAGCUGCGGUGAAUACGUUCCCGGGUCUUGUACACACCGCCCGUCAAACCAUGAAAGUGACCAACACCCGAAGUCCGAUUCGUCGGCCUAAGGUGGGGGGGCAUGAUUGGGGUU